rnacentral:rRNA from 1 species
CCUACGGGAGGCAGCAGUGGGGAAUAUUGCACAAUGGGGGGAACCCUGAUGCAGCGACGCCGCGUGGGUGAAGGAGUACUCCGGUACGUCAAGCCCUAUCAGCAGGAAAGAAAAUGACGGUACCUGACUAAGAAGCCCCGGCUAACUACGUGACAGCAGCCGCGGUAAUACGUAGGAGGCAAGCAUUAUCCGGAUUUCCUGGGUGUAAAGGGAGCGUAGACGGCAGGUCAAGUCCGGAGUGAAAGCCCGGGGCUCAACCCUGGGACUGCUCUGGAAACGGUAAAGCUGGAGUGCGGGAGGGGCAGGCGGAAGUCCUGGUGUAGCGGUGAAAGGAGUAGAGAUCAGGAGGAACACCGGCGGCGAAGGCGGCCUGCUGGACCGUAACUGACGUUGAGGCUCGAAAGCGUGGGGAGCAAACAGGAUUAGAUACCCUUGUAGUC